rnacentral:rRNA from 1 species
UACAGAAGGUUGCCAACCCGCGAGGGGGAGCUAAUCCUGAAAAAGCUGUCGUAGUCCGGAUCGCAGUCUGCAACUCGACUGCGUGAAGUCGGAAUCGCUAGUAAUCGCGAAUCAGCAUGUCGCGGUGAAUACGUUCCCGGGCCUU